GACGAACGCUGGCGGCGUGCCUAAUACAUGCAAGUUGAGCGCUGAAGGUUGGUACUUGUACCAACGGAUGAGCAGCGAACGGGUGAGUAACGCGUGGGGAAUCUGCCUUUGAGCGGGGGACAACAUUUGGAAACGAAUGCUAAUACCGCAUAAAAACUUUAAACACAAGUUUUAAGUUUGAAAGAUGCAAUUGCAUCACUCAAAGAUGAUCCCGCGUUGUAUUAGCUAGUUGGUGAGGUAAAGGCUCACCAAGGCGAUGAUACAUAGCCGACCUGAGAGGGUGAUCGGCCACAUUGGGACUGGGACACGGCCCAAACUCCUACGGGAGGCAGCAGUAGGGAAUCUUCGGCAAUGGACGAAAGUCUGACCGAGCAACGCCGCGUGAGUGAAGAAGGUUUUCGGAUCGUAAAAACUCUGUUGGUAGAGAA
rnacentral:rRNA from 1 species